rnacentral:tmRNA from 1 species
GGGGGCGACCUGGCUUCGACGUGGGUCACAAAACCUGAGGUGCAUGCCGAGGUGCAGAUUACCUCGUAAAUCCAUCUGCAAAACCUAUAGUUGCCAACGACGACAACUACGCACUCGCCGCCU